GAUGAACGCUGGCGGCGUGCCUAACACAUGCAAGUCGAGCGAUCUUCUUCGGAAGAGAGCGGCGGACGGGUGAGUAACGCGGGGGUAACCUGCCCUGUACACACGGAUAACAUACCGAAAGGUAUGCUAAUACGAGAUAAUAUGCUUUUAUCGCAUGGUAGAAGUAUCAAAGCUCCGGCGGUACAGGAUGGACCCGCGUCUGAUUAGCUAGUUGGUAAGGUAACGGCUUACCAAGGCGACGAUCAGUAGCCGACCUGAGAGGGUGAUCGGCCACAUUGGAACUGAGACACGGUCCAAACUCCUACGGGAGGCAGCAGUGGGGAAUAAUGCACAAUGGGCGAAAGCCUGAUGCAGCAACGCCGCGUGAGCGAUGAAGGCCUUCGGGUCGUAAAGCUCUGUCCUCAAGGAAGAUAAUGACGGUACUUGAGGAGGAAGCCCCGGCUAACUACGUGCCAGCCGCCGCAGUAA
rnacentral:rRNA from 1 species